UCCGUGGCGCAAUCGGUUAGCGCGUUCGGCUGUUAACCGAAAGGUUGGUGGUUCAAGCUUCAGUAAAAGAAAAA